UUUUGAGGGCACCCAAUACUAACAAAUAACUUACCUGUCCCAACCUGAAAAAAAAACACAGAUAAAAUCAAUAGAUAAACUAAUCCUAGCAUAUUCAACUUACACAAUUAAGCCCUGCACUAAAACUCCCACUACUCCCGGGCCACAUCAAUGACUAUAUUACACAUCAGCCCCAAUAUAUAAAAUAAAAAGCAAAUAAAAAAAGUUACUUGCACACUAUCCAAAAUCCUUAUGCAUAUUUAAAUAAAUAUUUUUUAGUAUCACUCAAAG